rnacentral:rRNA from 1 species
CCGCACAAGCAGCGGAGCAUGUGGUUUAAUUCGACGCAACGCGAAGAACCUUACCAAAUCUUGACAUCCCACUGACAAAGUAUGUAAUGUACUCUUCCUUCGGGACAGUGGUGACAGGUGGUGCAUGGUUGUCGUCAGCUCGUGUCGUGAGAUGUUGGGUUAAGUCCCGCAACGAGCGCAACCCUUGUCCUUAGUAGCCAGCAAUUCGGUUGGGCACUCUAGGGAGACUGCCCGGGUGAACCGGGAGGAAGGUGGGGAUGACGUCAAAUCAUCAUGCCCCUUAUGAUCUGGGCCACACACGUGCUACAAUGUCGUAACAAAGGGAAGCGAAGGAGCGAUCCGGAGCAAAUCUCAAAAAUAACGACCCAGUUCGGACUGUAGGCUGCAACCCGCCUGCACGAAGCUGGAAUCGCUAGUAAUCGCAGAUCAGCAUGCUGCGGUGAAUACGUUCCCGGGUCUUGUACACACCGCCCGUCACACCAUGGGAGUCGGAAAUGCCCGAAGCCGGUGACUUAACCGUAAGGAGAGAGCCGUCGAAGGCAGGUCUGAUAACUGGGGUG